rnacentral:rRNA from 1 species
CGUCGCCUACGGGGGGCAGCAGUGAGGAAUAUUGGUCAAUGGGCGGAAGCCUGAACCAGCCAAGUCGCGUGAGGGAAGAAGGCCCUGCGGGUCGCAGACCUCUUUGGACGGGGAGCAAGGCCGCCGACGUGUCGGCGGAAGGAGAGUACCCGUAGAACAAGCAUCGGCUAACUCCGUGCCAGCAGCCGCGGUAAUACGGAGGAUGCGAGCGUUAUCCGGAUUUAUUGGGUGUAAAGGGCGUGUAGGCGGGAGCGCAAGUCAGAUGUGAAAACUCAGGGCUCAACCCUGAGCCUGCAUUUGAAACU